AGUAGCUAGAAAAAGAUACUUGUGUUUUUUUAUCUCUUAAUUUUCAAUGGAAUCAUCGCAUUCCAUAAUUGAAGCUCUAGUUAGGAAGAUCAAGGAUGAGAUGUUCUCAUCUGUUGAUCUCUACUCUUUUGUUUCCCCUUCUGCUUAUGACACUGCAUGGCUAGCCAUGGUUCCAGGUGGGAAUGAUGGACGGCCCAUGUUCGGGGAAUGCUUGAAUUGGGUUGUGAAUAACCAGAGAGAAGGUGGGUUCUGGGGAGAGUCGGAUGGAUAUGGCAAUCCCACCAUUGAUUGUCUUCCUGCAACUCUUGCCUGCAUGCUUGCACUCAAAACUUGGGGUGUUGGGAGUGGAAAUUUGGAGAGAGGGUUGGCCUUCAUUCAUGCCAACACAGUUACACAGAGAAGCUUCUCGCAGAAAAUCAUGGCCGCUGUCCUCGUUGGUUUGCCAUCGUUUUCCCUGCAAUGAUUGAACUUGCCCAAAAAACAGGUUUAGAGAUUGUCUUCUCAGAUGAGUUGGAAGAAGUUCUGACAAAUAUUUUCCACCACAGACAACGGAUUCUGGAAAGGGAAGAACUCGUUGAUAAGUACCAUUAUCCCCCAUUACUAUCAUACCUUGAAACCUUGCCUUUGUGGUAUGGUAUCGAUGAAGAAGACAUAGUGAAGCAUUUGAGUGAGGACGGCUCCAUGUUCCAAUCUCCCUCUGCCACAGUUUGUGCAUUCAUUACUACCCGAAACAGAAAGUGUAUGAAUUACCUGCAAGCUCUUGUUCAAAGAUUUCCUCAUGGAGUUCCAUCAAUGUAUCCCAUGGAUGAACAGCUUAUACAGCUUAGCAUGGUCGACCAUUUACAGAAGCUUGGGUUGGCCGAUCAUUUCCAUAAAGAGAUUGAAAAUAUUUUAGAACAUGUUUAUAGCCAUUACAUGAGCCAAGAGCAGCUGCCGCAGCAGAGUUUGGUGCCAGUUCAAAUAUACAGGGACGCUUUAGCUUUCCGACUUCUGCGGAUGCAUGGAUAUCAUGUUUCUCCAUGGAGCUUUUGUUGGUUUUUAAAUCAUGAAGACGUUCUAACACAUAUGGAAGAGGACUGUGAAUACUUCUCAAGUGUAAUGUAUAAUGUUUAUAGGGCCACUGACCUUACCUUUUCAGGGGAAUAUGAACUUCAGGAGGCCAGAUCAUUUGCAAGGAAGUUACUUGACAAAACAUUAUCACUGGGAAUCAGAGGUGAUAAUAAUGAGCUAGAUCUUCCUUGGAUGGCACGGUUGGAUCACCUGGAUCAUAGAAUGUGGAUUGAACGAUUACGUGAAAUCAACACUCAAUGGACUGGCAAGGCCUCAUUUUACAGGUUAUCUUGCUUUCAUAAUGAAGUUCUAAUGCAACUAGCAGUGAAGAAUUAUCUAUAAGAGUGAGCUGGAGGAGCUGAAAAGGUGGUGUGAGGACUGGGGCCUUAGUAACAUGGGAUUUGGUCGAGAGAAAACAACCUACUGUUACUUUGCGGUGGCUGUGGCUUGUAGUUUCCUGCCUCAUGACUCUGAAGUAAGAAUGAUAGUUGCAAAGAGUGGAAUACUGAUCAUAGUUGCAGAUGAUUUUUUCGAUACCAAAGGUUCACUGAACGAGUUGGAAAGCCUCACUGAAGCAGUUCGAAGAUGGAAUGGUAAGGACUUGAGCAGCCACAGCAAGACUAUCUUCGCUGCCCUGGACAACCUUGUGAGUGGUAUGGCAGCAAAGCACCUUCAUCAACAAGGAAACGACAUUACAGGAGAUCUUCAAGAUAUAUGGUAUGAAACAUUUGCCUCAUGGCUGCUGGAAACAAAGUGGAGUAAAAGUGGAUAUAUUCCAUCAAAGCAUGAAUACCUAGAUAAUGCCAUGAUCUCCGUUGCCACACAGACCAUGGUCCUUCCAGCUUCUUGUUUUCUGAACCCAGGCUCACCGGAAUGCAAACUGAAGCAUUUUCAGAAUGGAAGCAUUACAAAAUUGCUCAUGGUUGUAUCUCGUCUGUUGAACGAUACACAAAGCUACCAGAAGGAGCAAGAGGAAGGGAAAUUGAACUUUGUGUUACUCCACUUGAAAGAAAACCCAAAGGCAACCAUUGAAGAUUCAAUUUCUUUCACGAAAGCCAUAUUGGAUGAGAAGAGGAAGGAAUUACUGGAACAUGCUUUAAUGGAUGACUUAGAUGAUUUGCCUAAACCAUGCAAGCAGCUUCACCUAUCAUGUUUCAAAGUAUUUCAGAUGUGUUACAACUCUAGCAAUCGAUUCGACUCCAACACUGAAUUACUUCAUGACAUUAAUAGGGCCAUUUAUAUUCCUUUGAAAGUUCAAACGUCAAAGCCCUUGAAGCUUUUGCCAUAUCAUGCUAGACCAAAGAAGGAAAAUUCAAAGAUCAGCAGUACUUGCUUUGAUCAAACCUACAAACCUCGGGUAAAACCCAGUUUCAUCAUGCACCGGAUUCCUCCCAAAAUAAGAGACGGCUGUGGGAAAGUGCCCAUUUCCCUGAAUCACAAACUAUAUUUCGUUUGAGUCUUUUUAUAUAAAUCAACGUAUGCAGCUCUAAUGUCUUUAGCUGACACGGAUCCUAGCAAGACGUGUUGGCGCGUUGUAGUUUCAACCAAAAAACAGAGUAAACAGUCCACC